UACGGGGGGGGCAAGCGUUGUCCGGAUUUAUUGGGCGUAAAGGGCGUGUAGGCGGCUAGAUAGGUCCGUUGUGAAAACUCGAGGCUCAACCUCGAGACGUCGAUGGAAACCAUCUGGCUAGAGUCCGGAAGAGGAGAGUGGAAUUCCUGGUGUAGCGGUGAAAUGCGCAGAUAUCAGGAAGAACACCCGUGGCGAAGGCGGCUCUCUGGUACGUGACUGACGCUGAGACGCGAAAGCGUGGGGAGCAAACAGG
rnacentral:rRNA from 1 species